rnacentral:rRNA from 1 species
AUUGAACGCUGGCGGCAUGCCUUACACAUGCAAAGUCGAACGGCAGCGACGGACUUCGGUCUGGCGGCGAGUGGCGAACGGGUGAGUAAUACUAUCGGAACGUGCCCUGUUGUGGGGAUAACUAGUCGAAAGAUUAGACUAAUACCGCAUACGACCUGAAGGGUGAAAGUGGGGGACCGCAAGGCCUCACGCAGCAGGAGCGGCCGAUGUCUGAUUAGCUAGUU